rnacentral:rRNA from 1 species
UAGGGAAUCUUCGGCAGUGGGGGCAACCCUGACCGAGCAACGCCGCGUGAGUGAAGAAGGUUUUCGGAUCGUAAAGCUCUGUUGUAAGAGAAGAACGUGUGUGAGAGUGGAAAGUUCACACAGUGACGGUAACUUACCAGAAAGGGACGGCUAACUACGUGCCAGCAG